rnacentral:rRNA from 1 species
AACGAACGCUGGCGGCGUGCCUAACACAUGCAAGUCGUGCGAGAAAGUUCCUUCGGGAGCGAGUAAAGCGGCGCACGGGUGAGUAACACGUAGGUAACCUGCCCCCCAGUCUGGAACAACUAGAGGAAACUCUAGCUAAUGCCGGAUGAGACCACGAUCCCUUCGGGGGGUUGCGGCCAAAGAUGGCCUCUACUUGUAAGCUAUCGCUGAGGGAUGGGCCUGCGGGCCAUUAGCUUGUUGGUGAGGUAACGGCUCACCAAGGCUGUGAUGGCUAGCUGGUCUGAGAGGAUGACCAGCCACACUGGGACUGAGACACGGCCCAGACUCCUACGGGAGGCAGCAGUGGGGAAUAUUGCGCAAUGGGCGAAAGCCUGACGCAGCGACGCCGCGUGGGUGAUGAAGGGCCUUCGGUCGGUAAGUACCCGUCGUCGCCGAGGGGAAGGAAAGU